GUCCCCAAAAGCCAGGCUUGUUCCAGCCAGACCAACGAGCAACACACUGAUACGGAUCACCCACUGCAGCUCCCUUUCUGAGGCCUGCAGCGGAGGAAAGACAAGCAGAUAAUAACAACUGAGUUGCUUUAUUUGAGAUUACCUGCAGCAGCAGCCAUGACUCCAAUGACAACUGAGGGGAUUCCCAUGAUAAAAACUGUCCCAGCAGCAGCAAAACAGGUGAUCUGAGCCUGAGCAGAGGAGGCUGCAGAGAGAAUCCUUUGGUACAGAGCUUGAUAUGACAGUCCACCUAAAGCCUGAAACACACGCAAAACAGGAUUACAGUCAAAUUGCUUUGCAGUUAUCACAAGGACUGUUUCUCACUUCAUAUGUCAUCAAACAGACCUUGAUCCGAACUCUGUGGUACUGUGCUUUUCCACAAAUGAGAAGUCAAAAGUUCCCUCAUCAAAUGAAAUAGUAAAUGUUUUACUGAAAAAUGCUGUAGAAGAGUAAAUUUAAGCAGAUGUAUUAUUGCAAACUGCUGUGCCAGAUGUUUAAGAGGACACGUUAGGUCUGAGCAUGGAAGACUAUCAAGCUAGACUAUCAAAGGAAGAACAAGAACUGACAGAGAAAUACAAUGUGAAGUAUAAAAUUUAGAUGAAAACUUAGAUGAGCAAAAUAAUAGAAGCAGUCAGCUAGGGUUAAGGUUCGUAAAACAUAAACUGUGAUUUUUAUGAGAAUGCUAAAAGAUACUGAAACGUUUAAGUUUAAAUAGAGAAAUAGUUAAAAAAGCACUAUGUGUAGGAAUGAUGUGAAAGCUUCCCCUGUGCAAAUCUAUGGGAUUAUUUGGUUAGAAAAUGUUUAAGACUUUAAAAAGUUAUACUUUUACAUAGGACAAUUCAUAACUGUCAUGGCCUGAGAGAGCAUUAUGAUAUUUAAAUGGUUACAAUUGCACAAAGAUUAGAGGUGUUAUCAGUUGGAUGAUUUUAAUAGUGUGAAUGCUUUAUAGAUUUUACGCAAACAUUUUAAGAUUCCAGUAAAGCUGGUUAGGGUUCAGGUGCAGUGCAAUUAUUAUACAGUUAUUUUCAAUAAAUUACAACAAGUGCUCUGACGAGGCACACUUGUCAUAUUAAAAGUGCCUUUUAAUAUAACAAGGGCAGGUAUUAAUCAUAUUUUUAUCGAGCCCACAUUUUUAUAUUAACAAUGUUUUUUAAUUGUUCUGAUGUAAUCUUGUAAUUUUUAUAUGUCGAGUUUUUAUUAGCUGUAAAAGAAAAAUAAUUAUUUUUUAACAAAAAUAAAGGCUUGAAAACAUCA